rnacentral:lncRNA from 1 species
UGUGUAAAAAUCAUUCAUCUGAAAUUGAAAUUUUAUUAAAAAGAAAAGAAAAAAGAGAGACCAGAGACAAAGGAAACAAGCAAAAGCACUCGCAAGAAACCCCGGGUAACCAAAAAAAGAAACCAAGACUAAGAGAACAUUUUAAGAGGGUCGUCCUCGUCUAAAACAUCGUCAUCUUCAUCGUCCAACAUAUCGCCCCAUUUUUUAGAGGCCACAACCGACAUAGCAUGGGCUGCAUCGGUAGAGUUAGAGGAGUUGAUCACAAAGUUUUGCAGAAUCUGUCCUCUAGACUGAGCAUACUUCACUUUAUUCAGGAACUCCACAGGCGAAGAAGUGUCAAGACCAGGGCCCUGCAUAUCAUCACGGCGUGCUG